CGGCCCGGGUCAUUAUGUACCA
rnacentral:siRNA from 1 species